AAACAUGUUUAACAGUCCAUACAGUGGUUCUAUUUUGUCCUUUUUUUUAAACCAAGUAUUUGUCUUUAAUUAUCUUACUUUCUUCUGUAGCACUUACUUUUCUUUUUGUUGAUUGUCCAAAGCUGCCAAAAUGCUGCUGAAAUGGCCACUGAAUAUCAGUUAUAGAAAUGAGAAAAGAACUAAUUAGAUUAAAUAUAUUCUUAAAUAUUUUAGUAAAUUUAAUAUAUUUAUAUUUAGUAGAUUUGUUUCAUUUCUAUCUGCUUUUGCUAUUACGAUAAAGGUAUUUUAGACCAAUGAAACAACAUGGAGAACCUAGAGGUAAGGCUGCACACCUACAACUUUCUGAUCUUUAACACACCUGAGAAAAAACAAGCAGUGAGAAAAGAACUCCUUAUGUAAUAAAUGUACUGGGAUAACUGGCUAGCCGUAUGUCCAAGAUUAAAACUAGAUCCCUUCCUUUCACCAUAUACAGAAAUCAACAAAAGGUAGAAUAGAGACUUAAGUGUAAAACUCAAAACAGUAACAAGUGUGAAAGGCAACCGAGGAACUACCACUGAAGACAUAGGCACAGGCAAAGAUUUCAGGACAAACAUGCCAAAAGCAGUUGCAACGAAAGCCGAAAUUGACAAAUGGAAUGCAAUUAAACAAAAGAGCUUCUGCACAGCAAAAAAGAGACUAUCAACAGAGUAAACAGAUAACCUAGAGAAUGGGAAAAAAAAGUUUUGCAAACUCUGCAUCUGGCAAAAUCUACCAUCUAGUAUCAACAAGGAACUUAAACACAUUUACCAGGAACAAAACCAAACAACUCCAUUUAAAAGUGGGCAAAAGUUAUGAACGAACACUUUUCAAAAAAAGAGUACAUGCAUGUAGCCAACAAGCAUAUGAAAAUAAGCUCAACAUCACAGCUCAUUAGAGAAAUGCAAAUCAAAGCCACAGUGGGAUACCAUCUCACACCAGUCAGAAUGGCUACUUAAUAGGGUAAAAAAACAACAGACACUGGUGAAGUUGUGGAGAAAAAGGAAUGCUGAUACACUGUUGGUGAGAGUACAAAUUAGUUCAACACAUUGUGGAAAACAGUUUGGCAAUUCCUCAAAAACCUGAAGACAGAAGUACCACUCAACUCAGCAAUCUCAUUACUAGCUGUUUACCCAAAGGAAUAAAAGACGUUCUAUCAUAAAAACACAUGCAUGUGUUAUGUUCAAUGCAGCACUUUUCACAAUAGCAAAGACAUGGAAUCGACCUAAAUGCCCAUCGAUGAUGACUGGGUAAAGGAAAUGUGGUACCUAUACACUGUGGAACACUAAGAAACCAUUAAUAAGCACAAGAUCAUGUCUUUUGCAGGGACAUGGAUGGAGGUGGAGGCCAUUAUCCUUAGCAAAGUAAUGCAGGAAUAGAAAACCAAAUACCACGUGUUCUCAUUCGUAAGUGGGAGCUAAAGGAUGGGAAUGAGUGGAUGCAUAGAGUGGAGCAAAACACACUGGGACCUGUCAAAGUGUGCAGAGUGGGAAGAGAUUGAUCAGAAAAAAUAACUAACGGGUGUUAGGCUCAAUACCUGGGUGACGAAAGUAAUCUGUACAACAAACCCCCAUGAUAACACAUUUACCUAUGUAAGAAAACCAAACUUGUACCUUUGAAUCUACAAUAAAAUUGAAAAAAUAGAAUAAAUGUAUUUGUUUUUACUAACUUUCAUUAGUCAACUGUGCUUACAUGAAAGUUAAGCACACAUACGUAACCAGAGGUUGACUGUCUGACAAAUUUCCAUAGAUUGGCAUGCCAGGAAAACAAGUUUUAUAGAUUAUUCUUUCACUAGAAGAAUGCACUCCUAUCUUUGGGCAAAAAUGUUUUCCUAAACUAGAGGUUUUUUAUAUUGUGUUUAUUGUCAACCACAGUGAAAAUACUGUGCUUUUAAAAGAUAUUAAAACCAGUAAGAAAUUUCUCUCUCUAGCUUGUCAAGAUAAACACAUUAAAUUCUAAACUGCUCUGAUGUCUGUCUAUCUCCACUGGAGGGAUGCUGAGCAGAAUUAACUCAGACUCUUAGUUCUUGUUAUUACACUUCUGCUCUCCUUUCUCUAUGGCUGUGUCUAGAUUCCAGGUUUUGUGGCAUCAGUGUCCUUAUAUCAGGCUUACUAAAAUCUCUUACAAGUAACAGAGAGGCCUCAAAGAAGGGUAAGAGCCCUAAGACAGUGCUAAGAAGUACUGCUCCUAAGUCCCUGAAGGCAUCAAACCUUUUACUUUUUCCCCAAAAAUAUAUCUCUGUCAACCAGGGUUACCACUUUUUGUUUCCCCAUUGUUCUGCUUCUUCACUGUAGAUUUAAUAUUCAUCAAAUCUUAUAAUGACCAGUAUCAGAAGCUGAACUACAAUUCAGGUUUUUCAACCGUUUUCUGUAUGCAAGGCACUAUACCAAUUUAUGGUCUAUAAUAAUAAGGCAAGUUUACACUCUAGUGGAAGAGCAAAUACUGACCAAAUAAGUAUGUAUUUAAUUAAAUUCUUUAAUAUAAAUUUACCUUAUUUUUAUAGUCCACCUAUAUAUCUCUCUCUGUCUCUAUUUCUGUACUUGAGAACUAGCAAAAUAGUUUUUUAAACUUCCAAAAUGCAUCCUUGCCUGAGGUUCAGUGUAUAUGACUGAAUUUAUAGAACAUGUUGAAUCUUUGAUCUAAUAAUGUUCCACAAUAAUACUGAUGAAAAUGAUGAGUUUUAUUGGAAGAAGUGGUGAGUUCUUAUGCAAAGACCCUAUGUGGGUCCCAAUCCCUUAGACGCUACAUCGCUGAAGAAUUUUAGUUUAAUUGGAAAUCAUCUGUGACCUUGCCAUUGUCAGUCUUGUUUUGGCAGGUCUAAUUAGGGACUAGUUAGUUAUAGUGUUGCCUAAAUUUGCAAUUAUUGACAUGGUCAAAUAAAGAGGGAAAAAAGUAAUUUGUAAUGUAAAAGUCAAAUAGGCAUUGGUACAAUGAAAACUAGGCUCCAGAAUGUGGUUCCAGUGAAUUCUUUGAAUACAAGGUAUCAAGGAAAGAGUCAUGAAGACCUCUAUCAAGAGAAUGAGAUGAAACUGGCUUCUGGGUCUUUCUUGUUAGCCUGACUAUGGAAAUAUUAACAAAUGGCCAGAUUAUAGGAGCUACUGGUAACCAGCAGCUCUCCUGGACUUAUCCUGACUAGUUCUGGGACAGACACAGAUAGGCCUGGGGGUUGGAAAUGUGUUUGUUGAAGAAUGUACAUUCUUUUUCUGCCUUGUCCUUAUCCUUCAUACUAUACUUCCUAUAUCCUGGAGAUGAGCAGUAAUACAUAUUGAGCAGUUUCUAUUGCCAAUGUUUGUUGUACAAAUUUGCCAUCAUAGGGAACAUUGUCUCCUUUGUCCUGAAACAGAUUUUUUUCUCAUACUUAUAUGUAAAACACUGAAGUUUGACUUUGGCUAAUUCUGGCAAUGGUGCAAAAACAAAUGUGAAAAGAUAACGAAUCCAACUGACUUUUGCUUGCUUUUUCUUUCCCCUACGCUCACUUUACCUUCAACCCCUCAUCAUGUGGAAUGAACCUCUUCAGCACCUGCAGAAGGAGUCUGAGAUCUCAGAGGGAGCAUGCAUACUACUUUGAUCUAAUAAUUUUAAACAAUAAAAUUGAGGAAAAUGAUUAGACAUCUGGAAGAAGCUGAAUGGGCAACCAGCUCUCUUCACCACUCCCAGCUUAUAUUCCUCGGCAGUGUGUCCUGAACCAUUGAGACUGCUUUGACCCUCAGAAUCUGGAGAAAAAUGCCGAUGGCCCUCAAAGGUUUGGAGAAAUUAAAGACCGGGUUGGCCCUUUAUAAUUCAAUUCUAUACCAUCAAUUCAAUUCAAUUCUAUACCACCUGGCAGCUGGAGCGUUUUCAUAGACGUGAGAACAGAUGGUCUGGCUCUCAUAUAUGCAGGGCUUCUGUGACUUGCAAGGCAAUCCAGAACUUUGCCAACAGUGUACGAUUGAUCCAGUCCUCCUGUUUGGCAUCUCAGGGAAGACUUCAAGGGGCAAGCCUAGGAAAUUAAGGAUCUGAGUGCCAGAGGCACCCCAGCAGAUGAGCCAGCUUCCUCCAGCUCUGCUCCUCCAGGUCCACCCAAACCUCCAUAUCCAGCUUCAGCCUCUCACUUGUCCCCUCCUAGAAAUCCUUGCCCUUCACAAGCCCCAGACUCACUCUUGCCCCUCCAUCAUAUUGUGAUAACCUACCCUUUGUUAGCCUAACCAGUUCUCUCUUUCUUAGCUGAGAGCUGCACAGACUCUGGGAUAGCUUCAUGGGCUGGACAGACUCCCCUUUAGUUUCUUCACUUGCCCAUCCCCUCCCCUGACUUCUUCCCUUCCCCUAAGCAGGUAGCUGGGCUAAGCUGACUACAAGCAGACAAUGGAGUGUCCUUACUGAUAAGAUACCAAGUUAAGCUGUACCAGCCUCUCCUAGGGAUGUCUCUGCUAAUAGUAUCAGCCACCCCUCCGAACCUGCCCGCUGAUAACCAAAAGCCCCUACAUCGGCAACUGUUUAUCUUUCUGCAACAGUUUACCUUUUAAUCUUUGCUUGCUCUGCUUCUGUAAAACUUGCUUUAGCUAGGCUCCCCUUCCCUCCUUUAAGCAAGGCAUGAAAACAAACAAAGCCCCUUCUUCAGGGCUGAGAGAAUUUUGAGCAUUAGCCGUCUCUCGGUCCCCAGCAAACAGAGGACUCCUGAUUCAAUCUCAGCGUGUGGUGCUUUCUCUAACUCGCUGGGGUACCACAAAAUGCCCAGUGAAUCUGGGCCCAGUAAGGUCCAAGUCCCCUUCUCCCUAUAAAACUUAAAGCAAAUUUCCAGAAUCUCACCCAAAUAUUUGAACUCUCCUGGAAAGAUAUGUUACUUCUGAAUCAGUCCCUGAUAGGCACUGCUGCUUGGAUCUGGGGAUGAGCUUUGCAUCACACAUAGCAUCAGGGAAUGGAGCAAAUACCAUCCAAGUGGAAGAGAAGCAGUAUCAGUGAAUUACCCUAAAUGGGAUACCAGUGAUGGGAUAGUAGACUGGAAGAGGAGACACUUUCAGGUGUGCGUAAUGAAAGGCUUAAUGUAGGACUAAGACCAAGCAUCCCAAUUAUACUAAGUUGUCCACAACUGACCAAAGAUUUGAUGAAAAUCUCACUACCUUCUUGGAAAAGCUGAGAGGUCUUGGUCAAGCACACCUCUCUAUCCCCUGAUUCACCUGAGGGACAGCUAAUCCUAAAGGAUAAAUUUACAACUCAGGCAGCCCUUGAUUUUAGGAGGAGGUGGAAGAAAUGGUCCCUGGGGCCGGAUAGUACAUUAGAGGACCCCCUGAAAGUGGCAACCUCAGUCUUUUACAAGAGAGAAAUGGGGACCCGAGAAAGAGGCAUAAGCUUUAAUGACCACCAGGUAAGCCCACAAACACCAGAAUUUCCAGGCAGGGUACACCUGUUAACUGCUAAAAAUAUGGCUACAACAGGUACCUGUCUUCUAAAGUUUAAGUGAUCCCAUUCGAGAUUUAAUUUCUUUCAGCAAUGCAAAACAGCUCGGUAUACAAUGUUUUUGUUAGUAUAUUUUACGUCUUAGCUCAAUCUUUGGCCCUAAAUUUUCCUUCUAUGAUAUGCAUUUAAACCAUGCAUAUGUGACCUUAUAAAACUUGUUUUGUUUUUCUCUCAUGCAGAGGCCACCAAACUCCAAACAGGCAGGCAACCAGAGCCUCAAGACAAGCUAAGAACCCUUAAUUAAACAGAGCUCUAGAAGGAAUCUGACUGCCGUUUUCCUAAAAACAACGCCCCCUGUCAGAAGGAAGCAGCUAAGACUGGUUGUCUCCAUGUUUUGAUGGCAGUUAGAUAGGUGUACCUCUUCAGAGGACAAACAUGAUACAAGAAGAAGGCAGGGUCCCUGGCAAGGGCUCCACCCUCGUGCCCGUGUACCUAGGUGAGAAGACGUACUCCUGUGUUCACACCCAAAUCUUGCAUUUUCCUAGAGCACCCUGGCCUGCCACAGCCGCCACCCUGUGCCUAUAGAAACCCCAAGACCAUAGUGGGCACACACGCAAACAGCAGGACAUCAAGAGGUACACACUGGCAGAUCACACAGAUGGUGACAGACCACUGACAGUAGGGUGGUCUCGAUGCCGAGGAAAAUUCAGUAGAGUGUGGGUGGUCAAAUGAGAGAGUCCAGUCACUGAGAAGCUCAGCUGCAGGGGAAGGCCAACUUCCUACUCCAUCCCCUUUCUGGCUCCCCAGCUAUCUACUGAGAGCUACCUCCCCCCCUCAAUAAAACCUUGCAUUCAUUCUCCAA